UACGUAGGGUGCGAGCGUUGUUCGGAAUUACUGGGCGUAAAGCGCACGUAGGCGGCUUUGUAAGUUAGCGGUGAAAGCCCGGGGCUCAACCCCGGAAUUGCCUUUAAGACUGCAUCGCUUGAAUCCGGGAGAGGUGAGUGGAAUUCCGAGUGUAGAGGUGAAAUUCGUAGAUAUUCGGAAGAACACCAGUGGCGAAGGCGGCUCACUGGACCGGUAUUGACGCUGAGGUGCGAAAGCGUGGGGAGCAAACAGG
rnacentral:rRNA from 1 species